AUGAACGCUGGCGGCGUGCCUAAUCCAUGCAAGUCGAGCGAACGGACGAGAAGCUUGCUUCUCUGAUGUUAGCGGCGGACGGGUGAGUAACACGUGGAUAACCUACCUAUAAGACUGGGAUAACUUCGGGAAACCGUAGCUAAUACCGGAUAAUAUUUUGAACCGCAUGGUUCAAAAGUGAAAGACGGUCUUGCUGUCACUUAUAGAUGGAUCCGCGCUGCAUUAGCUAGUUGGUAAGGUAACGGCUUACCAAGGCAACGAUGCAUAGCCGACCUGAGAGGGUGAUCGGACACACUGGAACUGAGACACGGUCCAGACUCCUACGGGAGGCAGCAGUAGGGAAUCUUCCGCAAUGGGCGAAAGCCUGACGGAGCAACGCCGCGUGAGUGAUGAAGGUCUUCGGAUCGUAAAACUCUGUUAUUAGGGAAGAACAUAUGUGUAAGUAACUGUGCACAUCUUGACGGUACCUAAUCAGAAAGCCACGGCUAACUACGUG
rnacentral:rRNA from 1 species